UGAUAAUAAUAAUAUGAUGAUGAUGAUGAUGAUGAUGAUGAUGAUGAUCAUCAUCAUCAUCAUCAUCAUCAUCAUCAUCAUCAUCAUCAUGACAU
rnacentral:pre_miRNA from 1 species